rnacentral:sRNA from 1 species
UAUUUGCGUGAAGGAUUGUAGUGGCAUCCUUUUAAAUUUUAGCAAAAAAUUAAAAAGAUAUAACGUAAAGCCUGACCUUUA